AGUGGGGUGGCUGAGGAAAGCAUUAGAUUGUAAAUCUAAUCAUAGGCUGUAUGGCCUUCCCAUUA
rnacentral:tRNA from 1 species